UACGGAGGAUGCGAGCGUUAUCCGGAUUUAUUGGGUUUAAAGGGUGCGCAGGCGGAAUGUCAAGUCAGCGGUAAAAUUUCGGGGCUCAACCCCGUCGUGCCGUUGAAACUGGCGUUCUUGAGUGAGCGAGAAGUAUGCGGAAUGCGUGGUGUAGCGGUGAAAUGCAUAGAUAUCACGAAGAACCCCGAUUGCGAAGGCAGCCUGCCGCAGCGUUACUGACGCUGAAGCUCGAAAGCGCGGGUAUCGAACAGG
rnacentral:rRNA from 1 species